UGGUUGCUUGCUUGCAUUUUUGCUAUGUGGGUGGCUACUAGUCGGGUGGUUUCGGAAAAUGUUUACCGUAAAGGUGCAUGAGUGGUGUUUGGUUUGUUACGGGUGGUUGGAUGUCUUCUAGCGAAGCAACUUCCAUGCGUGCUUACCUCUUCAUUUACGUAGCAAGGCUUAAUUUAGUGUUGCUCGUAUUGUGGGUUUACUGUGUUGCGUACCUAAUCGAAGGCAUUGUAUGGACCGAAUGAAUAUGUAUCCGUCAUGCAUCGCACAAGUGGUGCAUGAUGGACCGGUAAGUGGUCUUAGUAAUCCAUCUUGUCGUUGUGUACACAUCGGCGAUGUGGCUUGCUGAGUUUCGCUUGGUGUCUUGGAUAUGGAACCUAAUGUGGGCAUGGGUCUUAAAUGAUCUUUUUAUGUCCUUGAUUAGCGUUCUCGCUUCUCUAAAACGAUCACUCGUCGCGUGUUGGCUAGUCCAUGCGUGGCGGGUUGCGUCGAAGAGGAAUGCUACC
rnacentral:misc_RNA from 1 species